rnacentral:RNase_P_RNA from 1 species
GAGUGUCGACCGGGCAAUCGCUGCAGCUUCCUGCAGAGGAAAGUCCGGGCUCCGCAGGGCAGGGUGCCAGAUAACGUCUGGGAGGCGAAAGCCUACGGAAAGUGCCACAGAAAAUAUACCGCCUUGCCUCCUCCAGAGUGGUUUUAUUGAUAGUGAAUACUCACUAAAUUUGACCAUUCCGGUGGAGGCAAGGUAAGGGUGAAAUGGUGCGGUAAGGGCGCACCGCGCCGGUCGUAAUACCGGUGGCAGGGUAAACCCCACCCGGAGCAAGACUAAAUAGAGGGGCGUGGCGACAGCCAAUGCACGGCCCGUGCAGGUCCCUGGGUAAGUCGCUCGAGACAUUCGGUGACGGGUGUCCUAGAUGAAUGAUUGCCCAUGGUCUUAUUGGGCCAUGACAGAACCCGGCUUACAGGUCGACCUCUCCU